CUGUCAUUACUUGGCACGCGUGUUUAGGUUGUGAUGCGGCUCCAAAUGUGAUUGGCCGGAGAUUGUACGCGGGGAACAGCGGUCAGGGCGAGUGAGGCAGACGGGAGUGAGAGUUAGUUCCCCGGCCUGACUUAGCCCGAGCACUCAGAACAGAGCCCCGGCCUGACUCAGUGACACAGCCCGGUGUGAGAGCAGGUUCCUUGGCCUAACCUAGUGACACAGCCCGGUGUGAGAGCAGCUUCCCCCGGCCUGACCUAGUGACACAGCCCGGUGUGAGAGCAGCUUCCCCCGGCCUGACCCAGUGACACAGCCCGGUGUGAGAGCACAGAGCCCCGGCCUGACUCAGUGACACAGCCCGGUAUGAGAGCAGGUUCCCCGGCCUGACCCAGUGACACAGCCCGGUGUGAGAGCACAGAGCCCCGGCCUGACUCAGUGACACAGCCCGGUGUGAGAGCAGCUUCCCCCGGCCUGACCCAGUGACACAGCCCGGUGUGAGAGCACAGAGCCCCGGCCUGACUCAGUGACACAGCCCGGUAUGAGAGCACAGAGCCCCGGCCUGACUCAGUAACACAGCCCGGUAUGAGAACAGGUUCCCCGGCCUGACCCAGUGACACAGCCCGGUAUGAGAACAGGUUCCCCGGCCUGACCCAGUGACACAGCCCGGUGUGAGAGCACAGAGCCCCGGCCUGACCCAGUGACAAAGCCCGGUGUGAGAGCAGCUUUCCCUGGCCUGACCCAGUGACAAAGCCCGGUGUGAGAGCACAGAGCCCCGGCCUGACUCAGUGACACAGCCCGGUAUGAGAACAGGUUCCCCGGCCUGACCCAGUGACACAGCCCGGUGUGAGAGCACAGAGCCCCGGCCUGACCCAGUGACAAAGCCCGGUGUGAGAGCAGCUUUCCCUGGCCUGACCCAGUGACACAGCCCGGUGUGAGAGCACAGAGCCCCGGCCUAACCUAGUGACACAGCCCGGUGUGAGAGCAGCUUCCCCCUGGCCUGACCCAGUGACACAGCCCGGUGUGAGAGCAGCUUCCCCCUGGCCUGACCCAGUGACACAGCCCGGUGUGAGAGCACAGAGCCCCGGCCUGACCCAGUGACACAGCCCGGUGUGAGAGCAGCUUCCCCCUGGCCUGACCCAGUGACACAGCCCGGUGUGAGAGCACAGAGCCCCGGCCUGACCCAGUGACACAGCCCGGUGUGAGAGCACAGAGCCCCGGCCUGACCCAGUGACACAGCCCGGUGUGAGAGCACAGAGCCCCGGCCUGACCCAGUGACACAGCCCGGUGUGAGAGCAGCUUCCCCCGGCCUGACCCAGUGACACAGCCCGGUGUGAGAGCACAGAGCCCCGGCCUGACCCAGUGACACAGCCCGGUGUGAGAGCAGCUUCCCCCUGGCCUGACCCAGUGACACAGCCCGGUGUGAGAGCAGCUUCCCCCGGCCUGACCCAGUGACACAGCCCGGUGUGAGAGCACAGAGCCCCUGAUCACCAGUCUGCCCCCCUGUUCCUGGGUCCUCUUCCCCAUGGCUAGGCGCUGACUCGCGGGAAUGUUGCCCAGCCAGGCCGGGGCGGCCCCGGGUAACGGCUCAGCAGUAGGCCGCAGCUCGGGGCUCCCAUUACAGCGCAGGGGAGGCCGCACGAUGGGUCCAGCAGUCGGGCAGCGCUAUGAUGGACCCUCGGGGAGCGGAGCCGCUGUGUACAGCGGGAGUGAGGGCAGCUCGGACUCUGGGGAGGACGAUGAGCCGCCUGUGGUCUCCCGCGGAGUGAAGCGGGGGCAUGGCGACCUAGAACUGUCAGACCCCGGAGUGCAGCCGGGGCUUUACCCAGGGAGCGGGGCCGCUGUAUCCGGGGCUAAGCCGGGCAAGAAAACGCGGGGCCGGGUGAAGAUCAAGAUGGAGUUUAUCGAUAACAAACUGAGGAGGUACACCACGUUCAGCAAGAGGAAGACCGGCAUCAUGAAGAAGGCUUAUGAGCUGUCUACCCUGACUGGGACGCAGGUCCUGCUUCUUGUGGCCAGUGAGACGGGGCACGUGUACACCUUUGCCACGCGAAAGCUGCAGCCUAUGAUCACUAGUGAGACUGGGAAAGCACUAAUCCAGACCUGCCUGAACUCUCCGGACUCACCACCACGAUCGGACCCCUCCACAGAUCAGAGGAUGAGUGCCACGGGCUUUGAGGAAACUGAUCUCACCUAUCAGGUGUCUGAGUCUGACAGCAGCGGGGAGACUAAGGACUCCUUGAAGCCAGCAUUUACUGUUGCUAACCUUCCUGGUACCUCAAGUAUCCAGACUGCUCCCACUACCUCUACCUCGAUGCAGGUCAGCAGUGGUCACUCGUUCCCCAUCACCAACUACCUGGCCCCAGUCACAAGUGCCAACGGGACUGUUCUGAAGACUGAGGGCAGCUCCAUGAGCACAGGAGGCCUCAUGCAACUUCCCACUGGCUUCACCCUCAUGUCUGGUGGAGCUGUAGCCCAGCAGGUUCCUGUACAAACCAUCCAAGUUCAUCCUGCCACCCAGACAUCUCCGUCCAGUGACAGCAGCUCAGACCUGGUCCAGACGUCGUCUAGUGGCACAGUGACUCUGCCUGCUGCUAUCAUGACUUCUUCUGUGCCCACGACUGUGAGCGGUCACAUGAUGUACCCAAGCCCACACGCAGUGAUGUAUGCGCCAACAGAAGGAAGUUUGGCUGUGCUCAAUGCCUUCUCCUCAGGGCCGGCCAUGCAAGUGUCUCACACCCAGGAGCAAGGUGGCGUCCAGCAGGUAUUCCUCACUGCUCCAUCUGGCACAGUUCAGAUACCGGUGUCUGCCGUACAGCUCCACCAGCACCUAGAGUAUUAUCAGUGAGGCUACUGAACAAAAAGUGUACACAUAUUAUCACUCUGCUACACCAUGUUAUGGCCGUCAUCGGACAGCAGUCAAACAGCAGCAGUAACCUCACAGAGCUACAAGUAGUUAAUCUGGACACUUCACAUAACAAUAAAAAUGACUGAACUCCCUGGACUCCUCCUCUAGUCGGGAGCUUGACACAGCAACUUACAGACUGCUCCACUUAUUUAUUGUUGCCUUUUUCACGUUUUCCCUUCUUCCUAUGUUUUUGUUUAUUGCACACAAACAAGAUUUACUUUCCCAUCAGAAGAGGAGCUUCAACUCGGACAGUUUGAGUAGGAAUUAACCCUUUGCCAUUGGUGCCUGUCACCACUUCCUAAUGAGUGCUUUAUGAAGGGUUAACUGAUGUGGGGUUCUUCUGAUUAGGGAAAGUAAAGAAAAGCUCAGCACACAGAACAGCGAUGUUUGCACUGAAGCUGCUGCAGAAUCUGGGGGGGAGAGGUUACAACCCAGUCUAGAUGCACCUGCAGGUUAUGAAGAUCAGUCCUGAGUGAGACGUCUGCGUACAACAAAGCCGGAUCUGCUGGGGAGGUUACAAAGCAGUCUACAAGUACCUGCAGGUUAUGAAGAUCAGUCCUGAGUGAGAUGUCUGCGUACAACAAAGCCGGAUCUGCUGGGGAGGUUACAACCCAGUCUAGAUGCACCUGCAGGUUAUGAAGAUCAGUCCUGAGUGAGACGUCUGCGUACAACAAAACCGGAUCUGCUGGGGAGGUUACAAAGCAGUCUACAAGUACCUGCAGGUUAUGAAGAUUAGUCCUGAGUGAGACGUCUGCGUACAACAAAAAGGAUCUGCUGGGGAGGUUACAACCCAGUCUAGAUGCACCUGCAGGUUAUGAAGAUCAGUCCUGAGUGAGACGUCUGCGUACAACAAAACCGGAUCUGCUGGGGAGGUUACAAAGCAGUUUACAAGUACCUGCAGGUUAUGAAGAUCAGACUUGAGUGAGACGUCUGCUUACAACAAAGCCGAAUCUGCGCCUGAGAGGGAUGUUUGUAAUCAUGGCUUGUUCCCUACAGUGAGUGCUUGCUCAGGUGCCAUGUGUGUCUUCCUCUAGAGGUGAGAGGGUGAAUGGUUUCAAUAGGGUAAAUAAACCCCUCGCUGCAGCAGAUCCGAACAGAAGCCUUUAUUUUUCUAAGUGUGAAUUCUCAGUAUUUAUGUAUGUGCGGGAAUGUGUAAAGUUCACACCUUUAUAUGGGGGGGGGGGGGGGAUGGGAGUGUGGAAAUGAUUAUGAAAGUUUUGUUUUUGUGUUUUUAAUCUUUUAGUGAUACAUUUCUAAAUAACGGUUAUGUAAAGCUCAGCUGCCUGUGGAUCCAGGUUUUAUAAAGCAGGUUCCUCUGGCACUUCCUGCAUUACCUACACUGUGGGUAUUUGUUCACUACAGGGCUGGGGCUUGACACCUACCAGUAUAUCAAAGCCUUGCUAAUCACUUGUACUGUAAUGAUGGAUUGGAUUCAGGGGUGUGUAGAUAUCAUUUGAGGUUUUGCUGCUUUUUACAAUCAGACAAUGUAGAGAGGAACUAGUUUGAGAAGGGGGUAUGUGGUUCCAACGGUACGGGCUGUGCCACCUGUGGCUCUCGUAUCGGUAUACAAUCCUAAAUAUCGCAGGGCUCAAAUGUGGUCCCAAUAAACAUUCUCUGCUCCCUGAUAGGACUCCCCAGACUCAGAGGUUCUGUAUUUUGACAGAAUUUGCUAUAAUUAAGUUGUUGCCUAUAUGUAGCUUCAUACAUACAGAGGAGGACAAGGUUUAUCAGAUUGUAUUGAAAUUAUUUUUUAUAGUAAAAUAAUUAACCUUUUUUUUUUUAUUUAAAAGUAAAUGUUUUGUCUGUCAGCCCCGGAUAUUCUGAUCUGCAGUGCGAGUACAUGAAAUAUUACCUAAGAGCUCAGGAAUCAGACUUCUGCUCUUUGCCCCUCAGGGGUGUUUGCCCCGUACUUAAACCUGCUCAUGUCCACGGCUGGGUAUUGUAUCUGUAUUGUGCCAAACAACCCACGUCCAGGGGUUAUGUGACAUGAUCAGUAGCGUUACUGAUGUAAUAGGUGGGGUUUAUCUAGCUGUAAGGGACUGGUUUGCACACAGCGAUCCUGGCGGUACAGGAGAAUCUCACUGCUAGUCCCCCUCAUGUAAGUCUGAUUCCCACCAUGGUAGCAGCCUCCUUCCCUUGUGUGAGGCCCAAAUAGCCCCUAUUCAUGUCUAAUUACCCCACCUGUCUGUGCUGCUGCUCCCUCUCCAGUGCUUUUGACAGACUUUCAUUUUAACCAAUCAGUGCUGACUCAUAAAUAACUCCACGGGUAGUGAGUACAAUGUUAUCUUUAUGGCACACAUGUACAAGCACUGUCUAACUGUGAUAAACUGUAAUAAUGCACUGAGAUGAGAGGUGGCGUUCAGCAUAUCUUUAGCAUAUCAGCCUACCUAUGUUUAGCUUUCAACAAAUAAAACCAAGAGAACAAAGCAAAUUUGAUGAUAAAUGUAAAUUGGAUAAUUGUUUAAAGGGACAGUCUAGACCAAAAUAAACUUUUAUGAUUCAGAUAGAGCAUGUAAUUGUAAACAAUUUUCCAAUUUACUUUUAUCACCAAUUUUGCUUUGUUCUCUUGGUCUUCUUAGUUGAAAGCUUAACCUGGGAGGUUCAUAUGCUAAUUUCUUAGACCUUAAAGGCCACCUCUUUUCAGAAUGCAUUUUAAGUUUUUCACCACUAGAGGGUGUUAGAUCAUGUAUUUCAUAUAGAUAACACUGUGCUCGUGCACGUGAAGUUAGGCACUGAUUGGCUGAACUGCAAGUCUGUCAAAAGAACUGAAAUAAAGGGGCAGUUUGCAGAGGCUUAGAUACAAGGUAAUCACAGAGGUAAUAAGUAUAUUAAUAUAACUGUUGGUUAUGCAAUACUGGGGAAUGGGUAAUAAAGGGAUUAGCUAUCUUUUAAAACAAUAAAAAUUCUGGUGUAGACUGUCCCUUUAAAAUUACUGCCCUAUCUGAAAAAAUGAAAGUUUGAUUUUGGCUCUGACACAACAAGUGAAUGAUAUAGUACUAUAGUAACAAUACUUAAUGCUCUUGACACCACACAUGAAUGAUAUAGUACUAUAGUAACAAUACUUCAUGCUGACACCACAAGUGAAUGAUAUAGUACUAUAGUAACAAUACUUAAUGCUGACACCACAAGUGAAUGAUAUAGUACUAUAGUAACAAUACUUCAUGCUGACACCACAAGUGAAUGAUAUAGUACUAUAGUAACAAUACUUCAUGCUGACACCACAAGUGAAUGAUAUAGUACUAUAGUAAUAAUACUUCAUGCUGACACCACAAGUGAAUGAUAUAGUACUAUAGUAACAAUACUUUAUGCUCUGACACCACACAUGAAUGAUAUAGUACUAUAGUAAUACUUAAUGCAGGGAGCGUGACUUUAGAGUGUCAGUACUUGCUGGGCUCACCAUGCAGGGAGGGUGACUUUAGCGUGUCAGUACUAACGUUUGAUGGCAGAUGAGAUUCAGAACGUACAUGUUAUCAUGUAAAGAAAACCCCUUCUCUAUAUACCAGGCAGUUUUAUUGCUUACCAGACUAUUCCAUAAAUUAACCACACUUUCUGUAAAGAGGUACUCAUGAACCUGCUGACCUUCAGAUGGUGACUGCUAAUGUCUCCUGCUUUAGGAACAGAGUUUAAUGAUCACAGAAAUGAACCAGGGGAGAGUUAUGGAUUGGCUGCUGCUGCUGGGUUUCUGCAAAGAUCUCCUGAGACCUUUUCAUUGUGUGCAAAUUUCACUUAUUUUCUUAUAAGUUACUCUGAUUUGGUUUUUGUUGUGCUUGUGUGUAUUUUUUCCCCAGGGAAAGUUGUGUAAGUAAAACACAGUACCAUGUACAUAAACCCCCCCUUUUUGUAUAAAACAAUAUUUCAAUAAAUGUAUCAUUUUGUGCACAUUUUUCUA